UGUUGCUGCCUUAAUGAAGCGAUGAGUCAACAGCUCGUUGUCUCUUGCUCAAACCUGUCUCUGGGUCAUAAAAUUCUUCAACUUCUGAAACAUUUUUGCUUGUAGACAAUAAAUGUUUGUUCCCUAUGAAUCAAUAAUUUGCAGAUCUUAUGAAUUUAUGUUACGAUGGUUUUCUUCCAUGGCAUUACAGAUUUACUUGACUGAAUCAUUUGCUUGUUUAUAAUACAAGCUAGUUUUCAGCAGGAAAAUUUGCAUAGAAAAAGGCUUUCCUCAAAUGAUUAUUUAAAUAGUUAUUCAGUUUUAAUGUGAUCACAUGCGAUAAUAAAGAAUGACUAAAAUACUAAAAACUUGGAAAUAGAAAUUGUAAAAUACAUACAAAAUCUAGUAAAUAUAUUACAUUACUUUUGAUAGUAAUAAUACACAAGCAAAUAUUCUUGUCUGCUAUUUUAACACUAGAACUCUAAUAUUUCUAGGUUUAAUGACAAAAUUAAUAAUACUAAUCAUCUAUCUUUAUAUAUAAGAAAAAGAGGAGGACCAGCACUUUCACAGAGAAAAAAAAUAAUAAAAAAAACAAGAUAAUUUAUGCAAUACUAUUUGAUAACUAAUGGCUUGGAGGGGUAAACCUAAAAAAAAUUACAGCGAAAGGGUAAAUAGUAAUACUGUUUGUUUAAACCCCUCAUCCAUCCCCAAUGUGUUUCCUCCCUGCACCUUUUCAUACUCAACUUUGAUUUAUUCUAUUGAAGUUAUUUACAAAAAUUAAAAUUUUAUUAAUGCACAAAUCAUUUUUCCAAUAGUAAAAAAGAAACUGCUUAUUCAAAUAGAUCAUGUCGAAUUCAUUACUAGAGAAAUUAACUUUUCUGAGAGAAAUGAAAGAAAAUUUGGCUAAUCAUAUACAACAUUCUAAUUAGUCUGAGAGAAGUUUUAGAAUCAAGAAAGUUUUUACCAAUUUUGUGGAAGUUAUUAAAAAUUGAAAGAAAGAAUUGUUUUAUUACAGAUCUGACUAUAUGGAUAAUACAGUGGAAAUUCAUUUAAUCGCACUACAUUACGACUUACUUAUCAUGUUUAACCUAAGAUUCAUCAUCCAGCUUCAGAUGCAUUAUAUAGAUUAUAGUAAUGGGUGAAAAGAAGAUUUCUUCUUUCAGAAGCAUGCAAAUGAUCAAGAAUAUCAUAUAGAUUUGUUUUUAUUAGAAUAAAUUACGUUUGGAGAUUCAUAUUAGUGAUUAAAUUAAUAAGAAUUUAUGAUAUGAAAAUUCAAGCUAAUAAGAGCUUUAUGAUAAUUAAGUUUGAUAUGUAGCUCCUUAAUUAAGGUUAUGCAUGAAUUUAAAUCCUUAACCCUACUCAUCUCUAGAAUCAAAGAAUUUGAAACAUAAUUUAUUUUAUCAAAGCAUUAUUGUUACAAAAACCCUAAUCUAUCUUAACAAUUACAUUUAGAAAUCAUACAUAUACAUACAUGCAUGAAUUCAAAUAAGUUAAAAAGAUUAAAUGAUUCAUUAUACAUUAUUGCAGCACAGCCAACAGUGAAGGAAAAAGAAAAAAACAAAUAGCAAAAAUAAUUAAUUAUCUAAAAAAAAAAAAAAAAAAAAAAAGCGAUAUGACUACCGAUCAUGUCGAGCAGCCAUGGGCGACAUGGGAGAGUAGCUGUACCUGGUAAAAACAGCAGUAGAAGAAGAUCGGCGAAUGCGAAAAGUAGCUGAGGAAAAUCGAAUAGCAGACAUUAAAAUCGAUAAUACAUCUACUAAUAAAUAGUCAAGUUCAUAAAACAUGCUUAUGCUUUUCCUUAGAAUCACAUUUAUCAACAUCGAAACUGCAUCUGCAAAUCCACCCAUGUUCUUCUAUCUCUUUCCUUCUUGUUAUUCCUCUGCUGCUGGUUUUGCUGUUUUUGGGAGGCAAAAAUGUCAAACUCAAUACCCAUCGGUCAUCAUGUUAUUAAUUGAUUGCAGCGACCAGUCUAAUCGCUAAUAAUAAUGCUGGUCAAACUGGUAGUGACUGAAAUACCCUUCUAUUCCAAUUUAACAUUACUUCUAAUUCUACAAGGAAUAAUUUUCUUUUGGC
rnacentral:lncRNA from 1 species